AAUCCCCCUAGUGCAGUAACUCCCAGGAGCCACCAUGACAAUGAAAGCAUGUAAUCCUAGCUGCUGGUCAGGUAUUGAUCCCUGGUCCAAAGAUGUCACAUUUGAAACGGUAUGGUGUAAUAUUUGGAUGGGUGACGGGGAAAGGAACAGAAGUCUGUUUCAGAGCAGACUUUGCAUCUCUACUGGCUAAUUAAAUGAGCAGAAGACACUCACUCAGCAGUGCUGCCACGCUCCCCUUUGUGCUGGCCCUCUGUGAUAUACCCAGAGGAAAAAGCAAGAGCUUAGACUUAGCUACAGCAUGGAAAACACUCAGGACUCAAGACUGGGUGCUCAGAAAUCUAGAUAGAGCUUGUCCCAGAAAGAAACAACUCACUGUCCGAGGGUAGACACAAUGGUUCUUCAAUGCUCAAGGAUCACUGACACAUUUUCAACACCAGCUUUUGAUCCCUCUGAGACAUGCAGGGGAUGAAGCAGGGAGCAUCAUCGGUUUCUCACGUUGCUGCAGGCCUAAAGGAAAACUAGUUGUCAGGUGUAGCAUAACUCAGAGGCAUUUGUUUGAACCUCUGACACUGCCAUCCCUCCUCCUUUUAACAAACUUAUCAACUGUUUUUAAUCUGUUUGAAUUUAGCCACAUUAGACACAGACAGCAUUUUCUGUGAAUUGCUGCUCAUGGAAGACAAUUAGCAAGCUUUUUGUGAUAAAGCCUUUAGGAUACAGAGAAAGGAACAUGAAUAUAAACCUCACCUAAAUGCCUGACCCUCUGAAGCAUGAACAUCUCCCCGCAUGCCCCAGAAACCCUGCAGCUCAGACCUGAGGCCAGUGCCAUAUCUCAGACACCGCAAUCUUGAUGAUAUUUGGCUAGCAACAGCAGCAAGUGACACAACUUGCAGAUGGCUCCUUUUUGAUGAUGCAGUAUCCCACUCAGCUGCAUCCCUGCUUAUGUUCUCUUUAUCACUUAAAGAAACCCAUCCUAAAUGGCCGCAACAUGGGUAAAUAAGCUAAGAGGUCAGUGCUCGCUUAAGAGACUGCACUCACUACUGGUCGAGAUGAAUACAGCUUGAUUUUAUCUAACCCAUCUACUGAAACUGCACAGGCUUCCUCCAUCCCUGGCACCACCCUUGCACUACUGCGAGGAACAUGACCCUGUUGAGCAGCCCCAUCCAUUCUUCCAAACAACAGGAGCAGCAGCACUGUAACUGCAAAUAAAACGAGAAAGGUCUUUUGGGGCAGGAUUUCUGAGGAGAUCCCAAACAAGAAGUACUGGACAAAGGCAAUUCUUCCCUCUUUGUACCUUAAGAGCUGCAAAUGAGUUUCCUGCAACAGGGAGCACUGAAGUUUCUUCAGAGAAACUUAAAGGGCAAAACCUGGAAGGCGGGGGGGCAGUAAGAGCUGUAACCAGCAGAAGUGUAAAGUUCCAUCACAUGGCACCUUUGACUCCAGGCAGAGCUGUGAGGACCAUAUGGGGACAGGGAGGGGGCAGUGAGACCACACUGCUCUGUGUGGAGGGAUCCACAUCUGCCUCCACCUCUGGCAAGAUCCAGCUCCACAGACAGAGGUGAGAAAUGGUCCCUCAGGUGCCUUCCACCCAGCUACCAAUGUCUCCUCAGCCUCCUGGGCACAUCAGCAGGGUAUUGGUGUGCCAUUUCCACAGCGUCACCUUCAACGUCCUCUAGCCAUCUAAAUGUCAGCUGCUAUAAAAUGCUCUCCCAAGACACUUAAUCCAUCUUUUCAACAUAGAGUAAUUAGUGGGGUCGUUCCAAAGCAGAAAGCCAGUUAAUUGUGCAACUACUUGUGCUGUCAUGUAUUAUAUCAAAGAGAUUAAUACAACCUGAAAGAAAUUGCAGGGCCCUCCUUGGUUUCCUUUGAACAUCAGAGCUAGAUUAUAUUCCAGUGAACCUCAAAGACAUCCCCAGUACAGAGGAACAUUAAUUCACUAUCAAAGUGCAAUUGCAAAUAACAAAUAUUCACUAGGUCAACCUCCUGAUAAAACAGUUCCUAUGCAAAAAGCUGCUUUUUCUCCACAGAUAUGUAGAACCAGCUUCUACAUCACCUCUUGGUCUUCCCAUGGCUGUUGUAGAUUUUAGGGGCACAGUCAUUUCCUGGAACUAUUCCCACCAACAGGCAACAGUCCUUCUCCUCAGGUUGGGAGGACCAUCAAAAUGGAACCAAUAAGGUGUCCUGAUAAGGGCGUGGGCCACAGUACCAAAACUGUCCCUGUUAAGGACUGCUGCAUGGGUUGGACCUAUUCUCACAAUCCAAGACUGAUCAAAGUUAUCACUGAAGACUAUCUUGAAAGAGGCAAAAGUGUAAACCCAUUUAAUCAAUACCCAGAGAUCUGGGGUCCCAAAAUUUGUUCUGGUGUUAAAGAAAGGAUCCCAGGUACCACCAAGCCUGACACACUUCCCUCUCUCUCACAGCUUUGAUUACUUUGAUGGAUACUACCAAGUUUUCCUUUCUUGAUUUUCCACAGUUUUCACUCACAUACCAGAUACUGAGUGAAGCCCUUUAGCUCAAGCUUAACUUCAAAUGUAUAUUUAAACUUCCAGACAUGGACUGUGGUAAACUCUUAAUGAAAGCUUCAGACUUGCAGCUAGGGUCUGCCUGUUGACCUUAGGAAUCAUGUAUGGUCACCUCCAGAAACUGCAUUAAAGGUACAUGAUUAAGACUUCAACACUAAGCACUCAGGUUACAAAAGACUAAUUAAAUUGACACAAGAAAUCUUAAUUUUGGCCAUCCCUAUUACAUAUAGGCAUUAUAAUAUAGAUUUUAGUUUUAUGAUCAAGCAUUUCUGCAUUCUACCUCUUAUGUGCUCCUUCCUGACCUUAUUAAGUCUCAUUUUACCUCUUCUGCCUUCUAAAGGCUAAUAAAGUAAGAACAUACAAACAGGAAAAGAGCUGGCUUUGAGCAGCCUGAGCCAAUAGGGGAUUCCUAGGUCUCAGAAGGACCAAGCAGCCUUGUGCUGUGGUCACAUUUCUCCAGCAGAAGAGGUAGCAGAAAUUAGGGAACCACUAGCAGAAGUUAACUGCUUUUUCUAUGUUCAAUUAUCUUUCUGCUUUGUGUUUAUCUUACUUCAUCUCCAUAAAAGAAAAUUGGACUGUAACAGCUAGAGCAACAGCAGAUAAUUUCAGCUAACUCCCUGUAUGUUUCCUCCAAGGAAUCAAAGGCUAUCAAGCAGAAGGGAGGAAAAUCAGAGGAAAGGCAAGAAUGGGUUUUCCUAUGCAAUGGGAAAGUUAUUCUGUGAAGGAAAGCAUUAAAAGUAAAGCCUUUCUUUUUCAGAAAGUUUACAUUUUGAAUGCUUCUCCACUUCUCUUUCUUUCUCUCCCCUGCUGCUAACCAGACUGAGGU